GAGGCGUUUUUCCUGACUGUUUCAUGGCUCCCAUAAAGUUUCCAUUGACCUAGAGUGGAUCUGUUGGAUGUCUCUGAGAAAACUGAGGGUCUCCUCCUCAGGGAACAUUCCUAUUGGUGUGCAGAAUCGAGCCUUGCGUUCAUAAAUGACACAUGGGUUGGAGCUCACUGAUCAUCCUCCCCCAAGCAAAAGAAAUCGGUGUGGGUGUUGCAGAUGCUGAAGUCUUUGCGAGGAAUCGCUGCGGGUGGAUAGCAUAGGCUGCACCGUCUCUUCGAUUUUUCUAUUUGAGUAUCCUCCAAGGAAAUCGCUGGAAACAAGAUAAGUAGCGCGACUUUGAGGAGUUGUUAGCUUCAGGGACUUCUCAUUUCUCAAUGCCCUACUGUUAAUGACAACCUGCACACUUCCUCCCCCAUUUCUCAUUUGUAUUUCGUCACACUUUGAAUCCCUUUUCUUUUCGCUGGCUUUGAGUCAGAACGUGCAAACAAAAUCUGUGUGUGCUGACAUUUUCGCUGGAUUAAUGGGGACAGAUCAAAUAUGUUACCUGUCACCAGACGCUCAAGAAAGUAGUGGGGUUUUAUUUUUGUUCGUUUGUUUUGCUUCCCAAGGAAGAAACAUUUAUUCCGUCUUGGAGCAAAUUACUUGUGUGUGUACUGAGGGUUGGGGGCUGGGGGAAAUCGCAUGAAAUUAACAGCUAACCUCUACAAAACAAAAAUUCGAUAUACCCCUUUUGCACAUCACUUCCCCUACCAAACGUUUACUAAACACAAUGAAAUCGAGAAUAAUACAGAUCGGUCAGAAACAAGUCCAGCUCCUUUCGCGCUCAGGAGUUUUGCUCUUGGGUUGAAAGAGUUUUUUUCCUUUUAAAAAACCAACCACAAAAAAACAAACUACCAAAAACUCAGCCCAUUAAUUUUAGGGCAAAUUUACUAAUCGCAGCCUUCUUAAUACUUGUCCGGCGAUCGCUUGUUAGCGCUUAGGCUCAGGAGAGGCAGGGGCUUAGCAGCAUCGCAGCCACCUCCACAUUUGCCAAACCACAGACAAGAGCCUUCAGCCACAUUAUGACUAGGACAGUGCUGCCUGGAGGGUGGCACAGACCCCGCGCCGGCCGAUCGCCCCGUGCGGAGGAG